GACAGACCAGAAAGUGACAAAAAGACCGUGGGAGGUUAUGAAGCUGGGACAGACCCCACCAGCCAAAAGUGCUGGCACAAAGAUUACAACAUUUUCAUGGAUAAAAGGAGAACAGAAAGGAUUUAUGGUGAGAGAAAGUUCAGAAAAUAGAAAGCAAGACAAAUGUAAGCCAGCCUGACUGGAGACAGAAUUCAUUCUGCUGGUCAAACAUCUAAUUUGCUUUUCUCUUUUCUUUCUUCCGCAGCUCCGGGCUCAGCUUGGAAGGACAGGGGAACAUGCAAAUGUGUGGCCCUGAGGUGGCCCUGAGGCUCAGGGGCACGAGAACCAGACAGUGGAGCUCCAAAGAGACCAAGAGCAGAUGUUUUAUAUUUCAGGAGAGAGCAGUCUCCCUCAAUUCCUGAAGGAUUCCUGGAAUUCUUCUACUUAACAAAAAUUAGCUACAGAGAAAGAAUCAUGAAUCAUGAAUGGGAGCCCGGGAAGCCUCCGGGAGCCAAUCAUUUCUUCCUCCUCCCGUCACCCAAGGGCUGUCUGGUGCCUUGUGGGUUCCAUGGAAAAUCCUCUGGAAAGAAGCGAGGCAUCAGGCUCUUCCAGUUACUCCAAGAGCAGGGCCAUGUUCUGUGAUCAGAGAAGCCGAGCCCAGCGCCAUACUCUCAAGAGCUAGAAGCUGGAGUCAGACCUGUGUUCUGCCCCCAGCUCAGUUUCAGGUUUGCUACUUACUCAGGUAAUAAACAUCUCUACCACCUCAUCUGUCCCAUAGAGCGAACCACCUAUGACCUAUGUCUCCAGCCGGAGAUCAUACAAAGAUCGAGUGAGAUGUGAGCGUACUCUACUAAGUUAAGUACUUAUACAAGUGAAAAGCAUUUGUAUUGUAAUCACGGACAUAUGGCGUUCUGUUUACAAGGACUUUGGGACGACCGGUACACGUCUGCACGCGUGGAUGGCAUUAGCAGAGGCACAGAACACAGAGGCUGACCUCCACGAGGCUCUCAAAGGCUGCCCAUCCCGGGUCGGGUCCCUUUACUACUCCUUUUAAGGCUGUUGCAAGCUUUAACCGUUCAAUAUUGAUUCGAUAAACAUUUAUUGGGGAUCUGGCACAGGACGUGGCCCAUGUUGGGUGCCCGGUAAAUAUUUGCUGAAUAAUGAAUGAAUGAGGGCCUAAUGCAGAGAUGAAGAACUACAUGGCAACUUGCCACCAGCCUCUGCUCCUGAACCCACAUCAGAAAACCAUUAAUGGACUAAGGCGCUCUUCCCCGAGGACCUUGUACUCAGCUCAGAAUUCUCAGACUUGGCGCAUGAGAUGAAACCUCUUGGCCAUUCCUGACCUAGGCACAAGGAUAAAACACACCUUAACCCUGUGUUCAUGCAGCUCACAAACUCAUGGGAAAUAGACAGUAAACUGACAAACGGAACAUAAUGUAUGUUAAGGACAGAAGCUGGGGAGUCCAGAGCAAGGCCCUGGCACCCCAUGAUGUGGGUGAACUUGCAGUUCUCACACUUGCCUGGGCUCUGAAGGUGAAACUCCUUCCAAGAGAACCUCCUGCCUCUCUGAUAACCCUUGUCUAACCCUCUUCGACCCAGCCCGCACAUGUUGGCAUUCUCGGUGUUCUUCCCUGGUCCUCUCGCAUUCUACACAGACAUUCUUGUACCCUCUCACUCCUCCCCCCAUAGCAUCGGUUGCUAUUUACAUACCGAUGCCCCCCACGUUCAUGUCUCCAGCCCUGACCCUUCUCUGAAGCAUAUUUCCAGCUGACCCCUGGACUUGAGUACCCAACAGGCUACCCAGCCCAUCCUCCUCCCUGCUCUGUUCAGCCUCUGAGAACCUUGAUAUGCUUCAAGCAUUACUACUGAAGCCUUCCAAACUGGGAAUUCUUAGCUUUGACACAACUGGAGCCCGGGAUGGCCCUGGACUCUGGCCAUCACGAUCACGUGACUCGAGGCCCCUGCACAUGCUGUGUACUCAGCCUUGGAUACACCACACACUCAUUCUUCAGCUACGCCUCUGCAUCCCUCAAGAUCUACUGAAACUUGGUUCUAAUGUCACUUUGGCAUCCUUCCCCCAAACCUCACUGCAGAGUCAGUUAGACCAUCUUCUGUAAAUCAAUGAGCUUGUAAGAUUCUGAAAUCCCUCUCACUCAUCAAAAAAAUUAAGUUAUAAUAAGGCAGUAUGAAUGUUUAUGCAAUGUAUGUUAUACAAAAUCUGCAAAUGCCAUCAGUCCCCACGCACAAAUAAAGCAUUAACCGUCUCCUUCACUCAUUAAGUAAAUACGGAGUCCUUGCCAUAUGGCAGAGAAUGUUCUAGGUGGCAGGACGGAGCAAUGAGUCAAAGUCUCGACUAUCACAUAGCUUAUACUCAAGCCUCAAAGGAACGGCUCAGCCACACACCGAGACGCGUCUUCAGCUUAUUACUAAGAAUUCUUUCUAUUAAAGUUUAAUGCAGUCCUCUCUAGAAGUUCAUUUUGUCUGCCAAGUCCUUUAUGACUAUUACAUAUGGAUGCCACAGUCAUAAGCGGAUGGCAUAAGCAAGGACUCACAGGACACAAUAAAGGGGCCAUGUCCACUCCUGAUGGGUUAUGGCUAACUCAUUAGACCCUGUGACAAAAAGUCAGCACCAAGUGUGGGCCUGAAUGACAGGGCAUCGCGGUACACAGGAGGCGUCCUGUACAGGUGUCUGGUGAAUGAAUGAAUGGAUGAGUGAAUGAAUGAAUAUUAGGAUGGAAGGAGCCUCAGAAAUCUGUAAUCCUAAGAGUAAUGAGCACACCGUGUAAACGACUAUAAAGUGCAGGCAGGUAAGAAGGCAGGCUGUGCACCAGCAAAGCCUCGUACAAUUUCUAGAACCUCUGCACUCCUCGGUUUCCUCGUUGCUAAAAUAGGAUUAAAUAAGGGGGUGCCUGGGUAGAUCAGUCGGUUGAGCGUCUGACUUCGGCUCAGGUCAUGAUCUCACGGCUCGUGGGUUCGAGCCCCGUGUCAGGCUCUGUGCUGACUGCUUGCUCAGAGCCUGGAGCCUGCUUCAGAGUCUGUGUCUCUUUCUCUCUCUGCCCCUCCCCUGCUCAUGCUGUCUCACUCUGUCUCUCAAAAAUAAAUAAAUGUAAAAAAAUAAUAAUAAUAAAAUAAAAUAAAACAGGAUUAAAU